AGGACGAACGCUGGCGGCGUGCUUAACACAUGCAAGUCGAGCGGAAAGGCCCUUCGGGGUACUCGAGCGGCGAACGGGUGAGUAACACGUGAGCAAUCUGCCCUUAGCUUCGGGAUAGCUCCGGGAAACCGGAAUUAAUACCGGAUAUGACCAUGGCCGACAUCAGCCAUGGUGGAAAGUUUUUCGGCUAGGGAUGAGCUCGCGGCCUAUCAGCUAGUUGGUGGGGCAACGGCCCACCAAGGCGACGACGGGUAGCCGGCCUGAGAGGGCGACCGGGCCACACUGGGACUGAGACACGGCCCAGACUCCUACGGGAGGCAGCAGUGGGGAAUAUUGCGCAAUGGGCGAAAGCCUGACGCAGCGACGCCGCGUGGGGGAUGAAGGCCUUCGGGUUGUAACCCUUUCAGCAGGGACGAAGCGAAAGUGACGGUACCUGCAGAAGAAGCGCCGGCUAACUACGUGCCAGCAGCCGC
rnacentral:rRNA from 1 species